rnacentral:rRNA from 1 species
GACGUAGGGCGCGAGCGUUGUCCGGAUUUAUUGGGCGUAAAGAGCUCGUAGGCGGCUUGUCGCGUCGAAUGUGAAAUCCCGGGGCUCAACCCCGGGCCUGCAGUGGAUACGGGCUGGCUAGAGGCAGGCAGGGGAGAACGGAAUUCCUGGUGUAGCGGUGAAAUGCGCAGAUAUCAGGAGGAACACCGGUGGCGAAGGCGGCUCACUGGCCCGGUACUGACGCUGAGGUGCGAAAGCGUGGGAGCAAACAGG